UGAUCACUUGAAAUGUUUUCUGGGGCAAAGAGCAGGAAGCUGCUGGCUUUUUCUGCCAGCUCUGCUCCGUUUGAGGAAUGCUGUUGGUAGGUCUGAGGUUAUCAGAAAGACGGCGAUUUGGCUGGGGACAGAGACAAAGGGGAUGGAGAGACUCAGAGAACAGAAUCAGGCUCACAGAAGCCAGGCAGAGUGUGUCGGUGAUAAAGCUGGCCUCAAAGGAGAGGAAGGGCUGACCCGGCUCCCUUCCCCAGGCACCUCGCCGCCGAGGCCUGGCCUCAUGGAAAUGGCUCUCCGCUCCCGCUGGCCAGCAGCCAGGCCAACAGCAGCCUCGGCAGGCUGCAUCCCCAGAUAGCCUCUUCACGGACUAGGAAAGCAAGUGUACUUGGGAGUUAUCUGCCUUAAGCUAGCAGCAGGCCGCCCCAUCCGUUAGGGGAGGCGGGCGGGAUUGAGGCAGGGAAGUGUUUUAAAUAUCUUUUGUUUUGUUCCUUUUCGGCCAAUCGGAACCGAGGCCAACUUCGGGCAGGGUGACAGAAGGGCUCACCUUCAGAUCAUGGACCUGAAGGAGUCAUGUUACAGCCACAAAGAGACCCGUGGCGAUGUCGGGAGACGUUUUAGGUUGUCCGAUCUGGAGGAAGGGCGGGUGCUACUGAGAUCCAGAAGGUACAGACCAGGAAUGCUGCCAAACACAGGGCAGCCCCCCCCCCCACACACACACACACAACCGAAAACUAGCCAGCCCCAAGUAUCCCUAGUGCCUUGAGGCUGAGAAAGCCUGCCCCAAACUGAGAGCUUCACCAAGGCAGAGGCUUGUCCGAAUUCUUCACCACGGUGCCCUCAGUCUAACGCUGUGUGUCAGAGCUCAAUUAAUUAAACACCAUUUCCCACCAGGACAGGUGCACUACUCUCCUAUCCGAGCCCCCUGUAUCUGCCCUUGGCACAUGCUUGUGGGGAGAAGGAUGUGUGGGAAGAAACUGGGGAUUUGUACACACACACACACACACACACACACACAAAGAGGCUGCAGGCCUUUGAAAAGAAGUCAGACCUCGGCCCUCCUCUGCUCAAAAACCAUCAACAGAUUCCCACCUCAUUCAGAGUAAGAGCCCAAGUGCUAAAAAUGGCCCACUGGAUCAGUGCCCUGCUCUGGAUCCCUGACUCCUUGUCCUGCCUAACCUUAGCCUCGGGGCCUUUCCCCUUGAUCUCCCACAGCCCCUCCCCCCAGCCCACCUUCCUGGUCCCCAAACCACCUAACACAAGCCCUUUUCCCUCCUCAGGGUAUCAGCCUUCCCGCCUUCUCUUCUGCGUACCCCCUCCCUGCUCCCUCCCGGAUGCCUCCCCAUCAGAACCCUGGUUCCGUGGCCAGCCCUCUUUUUACACUUUAACCUUUUCUCUUUCUUUCCAUAUCAAGAGGCAGAACUGUGCAGUGAUUGAGUACGUGGCAGCUGGCCUCAGACUGUCUGACGUCUGGGUGUGAAUCCAGCUGUCCCACUGGCCUGGGCAGCUAGGCUGGGCAGCCUUGCUUGAGGUAUGAAAUUCUUUGGGACUUGAUUUCCUCAUCUGUACAAUGGGAGCCAUAAUAAUACUGAUAAUAAUGCCCACCUGGAAAUUCACUGACUCCGUGUUGUCAAGCACGGGUAGCCACACGCACAGUGAGCACUCAGGAGGUUGCAAUUAGGAUUUCCCUCUGCUCACUCUUAAAAAGGUAAUUUCUGAAUGCCUCCAAGUCAUUUCUCUUCCUUUUCUCAACAUCGGACGUCCCAAAGAAGCACAAGGAUACAUCCUGGUAGCUGGCACGUUCUAAGC